rnacentral:rRNA from 1 species
UGGGGAAUAUUGCGCAAUGGGCGAAAGCCUGACGCAGCGACGCCGCGUGGAGGAUGAAGGUCUUCGGAUUGUAAACUCCUGUCAGGUGGGAAGAAAAACUUUUUUUUAAUAGAAAAGAGUUAUGACGGUACCAUCAGAGGAAGCACUGGCUAAUCUCGUGCCAGCAGCCGCGGUAAUACGAGAGGUGCAAGCGUUAUUCGGAAUUAUUGGGCGUAAAGGGCGCGUAGGCGGUUUGUUAAGUUUGUUGUUAAAGCCUCUAGCUUAACUGGAGAUAAGCAAUAAAAACUGGCAAACUAGAGUGUGAGAGAGAGAAGUGGAAUUCCCGGAGUAGCGGUAAAAUGCGUAGAUCUCGGGAGGAACACCAAUGGCGAAGGCUGCUUCUUGGCUCAUAACUGACGCUGAGGCGCGAAAGCGUGGGGAGCAAACAGG